GGGGCUCCGACCGGCGGAGCCGUUGCCGCCCGCGGUCUGAGGAGCCUGAGGAGCGGGGCCCGGAGCCGAGAGAGAAGCUGCUGGACGGCGUCGGGCGCGAGAGGGCGGUCGUCCCCGGAGCGUUAGUACGGGAGUCGGCCGCCGCCCCUCGGCCUCCCUACUUGCAGGUCCCCUAUCUCUCCGCCGGGACGCGGGAGAGCCCGGCGUGCGGCGGGGGCGCGAGGUGGAGCCGGCGGGGGCGGCCAAUGCGAAACUGGCUGGUGCUGCUGUGCCCGUGUGUGCUCGGGGCCGCGCUGCACCUCUGGCUGCGGCUGCGCUCCCCGCCGCCCGCCCGCGCCUCGGGGGCUGGCCCGGCAGAUCAGUUGGCCUUACUUCCUCAGUGGAAAUCUAGUCACUAUGAUGUGGUAGUUGGUGUGCUGUCAGCCCGCAAUAACCAUGAACUCCGCAGUGUGAUAAGAAGCACCUGGCUGAAGCAUUUGACACAACAUCCAGCGUUAAGUCAGCGUGUGCUUGUGAAGUUCAUCAUAGGUGCUCGUGGCUGUGACGUGCCCGUGGAGGACAGGGAGGAUCCUUACUCCUGCAGACUACUCAACAUCACGAACCCAGUUUUGAAUCAGGAAAUUGAGGCGUUCAGUCUUCCUAAAGACACUUCAUCAGGGCUCUCUGAGGACCGAGUGGUCAGCGUGAGCUUCCGAGUUCUCUAUCCGAUCGUUAUUACCAGUCUCGGGGUGUUUUAUGAUGCCAGCGAUGCGGGUUUCCAGAGGAACAUCACUGUCAAGCUCUAUCAAGCAGAACAGGAGGAGGCCCUCUUCAUUGCUCGCUUCAGUCCUCCGAGCUGUGGUGUGCAGGUGAACAAGCUGUGGUACAAGCCUGUGGAGCAGUUCAUCUUACCAGAGAGCUUUGAAGGUACAAUCGUGUGGGAGAGCCAAGACCUCCAAGGCCUUGUGUCAAGAAAUCUCCACAAAGUGACAGUCAAUGAUGGAGGAGGAGUUCUCAGAGUCAUUACAGCUGGGGAGGGGGCCUGGCCUCAUGAAUUCAUGGAAGGUGUGGAGGGAGUUGCAGGUGGUUUUAUUUAUACUAUUCAGGGUAAGUCAGCAGGUUAAAAGUUGAAAAACAUACGGAAUCUCACCUACCUAAUCUUCAUACUUUUGACGUCAAAGAUUCAGAGUUCUGCAACCAUCUCCACUAAUUCCAGACCAUUUCCAUCGCCCCAAAAAGAAGUGGUUGUGUGGUCUUCUUGAGUGAUGCUCCUGAAAAUAUCCACAUCUGCGAAUUCCUGAGAAUUCUGUGUCCGUGAUCUUUAAGAAGAGCUGUGUUGAUGUGGUUGCUGUUGGUCAUUUGCCCUGAUCAUCACUAUGGAACAAAGGUGUCCGGUCAUGCAUCAUCUGGCUUCUCAAAGCUCUGCAGAUCAUGGAUUCCUAUAAAAGAAUUAGGACACAGCUUCCCUGAAGGCUCACCGUGACUGGGGAAAGCAGAGGCUUUAUUCUGAGAGGAAGGUCUUCAGGGGCCUCCCUUAAUAGUGCAGGCUCGAGAAUGGGGCAGACCCCUCUGUUCGAGGCCAUUACAUGUAGUUUGAAGAUGUGAAUGGGCUGUGGCUUUUUUUAUUUGUAGCAUCUUUAUUUAUACAGUGUUUCCUCACAGAAGUAUUUCUAUUCUUACAUCACCCCAAGGGUAGGCUGGAAUAGGUACACAGGCUUUGCCCAUAAACCUGCCAUUAACAAUAGAGAUUUCAAAUUUAGGGAUCCAGGACUUAGCUGGUGGCACAGUAGUUAAGAAUCUACCUGCCAACGCAGGGGACACGGGUUUGAUCCCUGGUCCAAGAAGAUCCCACAUGUCACAGAACAGCUAAGCCCGUGCAUCAGAACUACUGAGCCUGUGUGCUGCAACUACUGAAGCCCUUGUAUCUAGAGCCCGUGCUCCACAACAAGAGAAGCCACCACAAUGAGAAGCCUGCACACCAUAAUGAAGACCGUACGCAACCAAAAAUUUUUUUUUAAAUUUCUUUUUUGGGAUCCUUAAUUUUAGUCCAGAGAUUUUUCAUAAAACUGUGCGAUGACUCUGCCAGGGAAGGUAUCGACUUAGCUCACCACAGGCUGCUAAUGGCUCAGCCCUGGGGAAAACUCAGACCAGGAGGUCAGGCCAGUUUCAUAAAACAGCUCACACUGAGGGGCCAGGUACAGGUGUAACACACCAUCUGACUUAAUGCCUAGCAGCUUCCUUUCUUUUGCCAGUUAAUUCAUGUAUGUACUAUCAAGAGUCUUUAAAAACUUGAGGGGCCCCUGAGACUUCUGGCACUAAACCUUUCUACAGGGAGCAGCUACUAUACCCUGCACAACUGUCUUAAGUUUUCUCUCACUGAGGCUAGAGGAUUAAGGUUUGGGUGAGGAAAAUUCCUUUCAAACAAGUGUUAGGCUAAAGGAAUUAAAAUGAAUAUAGUUUUCUUCUCAUGUACUAAUAAAUAUAUCUGAAAACUGACUAAUUUUUUUAAAAUCUGAGGAUCUACAUGCUGUUUAGAAGAAUCAAGUGGUACACAAAUUCUCAAAUUUUGUUGCAUUAGCAUCCCUUGCUGGGCCCUACCUCAGUCUACAGAGGUAAGAAUCUUCAGGAUUGGAGCUCAGAUACCUGUAUUUUAAUAAGCUCCCUAGAUGGAUUCGAUGCCUCCAAAAUUUGAGAGGCUGUAAACCACAUGAUUCUUGCAAAUAGCACCUAGACAGACGAUCAGAUUUAAAACACACACUGAUAUAUUACUUUAUACUUUAUUACUUUAUAGUUGUAUUUUUCAGAUAUAUGCAGAAUAAACCAAUAUGUAUAAUUUGUUAAUGAAAAAGCCUGCAUUUAAUUUCUGCUCUUGUUAUCAACCGUUCCUAUUGCCACAAUUUUAUAACACUUCCCUUUCCUUCAGGUGUUAAAUUGUGUGUAUUUAUCCUUAUCUUUAAAGUGGAAGGAUGUUACAGUAGAGUUUGUAAGAGUUGGAAGGGGCCUGAGGUCAUUUAGGCCUGUGCUUUUCAAGGGGUUGUCUGUGGUCUACCUGCAUCAAAGUUACGGCAAGUCACAGGUUAGAAAUACAGAUUCCCGGGCUCUACCCCAGACCUGCUGGAUCUUUAGGCUUGGGGCCUAGGAAUCUAUAUUUCAGUAAGCAUUGCUGAGACUCACAGAUUCAGUCUAGCUCCUCCUUUUACAGAUGAGACUGCUGAGGCCCCAAAACGUGUGACUUGUCCAGUGUCUCACAGAUAGCGGCGGAGGCGGAAAUCAAAUAUAGGUCCUCAAGCCCCAAGCCCAAGUCUUUCUGCUUGCAGUUACAAAGAGUGCAGUGUUCAGUUACUUCUUGGUUCCCUUCCCGCACCCCUCCGCCACUCAUUUUUUUAUUUUUCAGAAAUUUUCUAAUCUGAGACAGUUGAGAAAAUCCUGUGCUAGUGAAAGAAUUGCUGCCUUAUUUGAGGACAGUCCCUGUACAAAUGCAACAGAUGAUUCAUUAGUUUGUGAGGGGGUAAUUAAAAUGUCUUCUAAGCACACUGGUAAUAAGUUUUAUUAUAAAAUAUAAAUAAACCAAAAAUAGAGUGCUGUAAGAAACACCCGUGGACUUGUGUUGCUCAGAAUUAACAAAUGUUUAUAUUUUGUCAUAUUUGCUUCCUUUUUUUUUUUCAGAGAAAUAAAGCAUUACAGAUUCAGUUGAAGCCCUCUCCUUCCCAGUACUUCCUACCCCUGUUCCUCUUCCUUCCUCUCAGAGAGGAUACCACUGUCCUGAAACUCACGUGUACCCUUGCCAUUCUUUUUUUUUCUACUUUCUACCAUAUAUGUAUAUAACUUUUCAUAAGUUUUGAUUAAAGUAUGUUAUAAUUUAUACCUGUGGUAUCAUAUCAUAUGUAUCAACUGGCAGUAUACUUCUCUCACUCAGCAUUACUUUUGUGCCAUUCCCCUUAACAUCAAAGAUCAGGUUAAUUUUUUUAAAAUUUAUUUUAUUGAAGUAUAGUCGAUUUAUAGUGUUGUAUUAGUUUCUGCUGUACAGCAGCCUGAUUCAGUUAUACAUAUAUAUACAUUCCUUUUCAUAUUCCUUUCCAUUUUGGUUUAUCCCAGGAUAUUGAAUAUAGUUCCCUGUGCUCUACAGUAGGACCUUGUUGUUUAUCCAUCCUGUAUAUAAAUUAGUUUGCAUCUACUAGUCCCAAACUCCAAAUCUAUUCCCUACCCCACAACCACAAGUGUGUCUGUUCUCUGUGUCUGUGAAUCUGUUUUGGAGAUGAGUUCGUGUCAUAUUUUACAUUCCACAUGUAAGUGCUAUCAUAUGGUAUUUGUCUCUUUCUGACUUAGUAUGAUCAUCUCUCGGUCCAUCCAUGUUGCUACAAAUGGCAUUAUUUCACUUUUUCAUGGCUAAUACUCCAGUGUGUAUGUGUGCGCGCGUGCGUGUGUGUGUGUGUGUACAUACACACCACAUCUUCUUUAUGCAGUCCUCUGUUGAUUGACAUUUAGGUUGUUUCCAUGUCUUGGCUAUUGUAAAUAGUGCUGCUAUGCAGUUUAAAUGUUUAAACUGCUGUAUUCCAUUAUAUGAAUAUACCACAAUUUAAUGAUUCUCCUAUCGGUGGGCAUUUUCACUGUCACAAACAAUGCUGCCAUAAACACCCUUACUAAGGUGUAAAAUAAUGUCUCUGGGGAUGUCUCUGCAAGUGGACAUAGCAAGUCAGACAGUCUGCACAUCUUCAGCCUAACCAGGGGUUGCUGCAUUGCUCCCCAUAGUGGGUGUGUCCGUUUAUCCUCCCACCAGCAAUGGGUGGGAGUUCUGAAAAACUGUAUUCAGUUAGGUUACCUUGGGAGGAGUAUGAAGGCAAUAAUGUUACAAGUUCUGGGUCUUAAGUUUGCAGUAGCCUUUUUCUCCAACUCUGGUUUCCUUUUUAGAAGGUGAUGCUCUCUUAAAAAACCUUCAUUCUCGCCCUCGAAGACUUCUUGAUCAUAUAAGUCAUCUCCAUGAGGAGGAUGCCUUACUGAGCAAGGAAAGCAGCCUCUAUGAUGAU